UUCAUCUUAGGUGUUCUAUUUCCAGAGGAGGCUGAGCAGGUCUUCCUCACUGGUCAGCUUUAUCAUCAGAGUGAAGUGGAAGAGUUCACUAGAGGGAUAGAUCGACUGUUGAAGAAAGAAGGAAAACCAUUCAAUUGGAGUCGUAAAUCCUUUUAGGGAUUCUACCAGGCGGGAGUUUCCGUCAAUUGAAGCCAACGCAAAGUGUGACAGAAGCAUCAAAAAUAGUUUGUUUAAUAAAAAGGAUGUUCAC